rnacentral:rRNA from 1 species
GACGAACGCUGGCGGCGUGCUUAACACAUGCAAGUCGAACGGAAAGGCCCUGCUUGCAGGGUACUCGAGUGGCGAACGGGUGAGUAACACGUGGGUGAUCUGCCCUGCACUUCGGGAUAAGCCUGGGAAACUGGGUCUAAUACCGGAUAGGAGCCAUUUUUAGUGUGAUGGUUGGAAAGUUUUUUCGGUGUAGGAUGAGCUCGCGGCCUAUCAGCUUGUUGGUGGGGUAAUGGCCUACCAAGGCGGCGACGGGUAGCCGGCCUGAGAGGGUGGACGGCCAGCUUGGGGACGGGUAGCCGGCCGAGCCCCCACCGGGAGGAAGCAGGGGGGAAUGUGGAAGAAGGGGCGAGGGCCGUAUGCGGCGACGCCGGGGGGGGGAUGGCGCCCUUCGGGUUGAAACUUCUUUGCCCAAGGAAAAAAGCUUUUUGUGACGUUACCUAAAAAAGAAGCCCCGGCUAACUACGCG